ACAAACACAAGGCAACAUGUGCUGUCGUGGUUGAUUCGCCUGUGUAGACGUUAUAUGAUUGUGAAUUGAAAUGUUAGUGUAAUAGUGUUCAUAGUACUUCAACAUAUAAACGUGCCACGUAGAUGCUGUAUGCCUACUUUCCACAAUUUUCCGCCGUUUUACAAUUUAAGUCACCAUUGUAUCACCUGUUUUUCUUGUUUCUUUUCUUCUUACGUUUUUAACGUCUGUAGGCUGCAGAGCAGCGUACGAUGGUGAAGGGGGGGGGGGGGGAAUCGAAAUGCAGUAAAGGAAAAAAGAAGACUUUAUGCCUGCUUGUAGAGGCAAUUAUACUGCUCGGGAAAGAGUCAGUACAUUCCAUUUCCCUCGUGAUGAAGAUGCAUGGAGAGAAUGGAUAAGAGCAGUUCACCGUGAUAAUUUCAUCCCUUCAGAUCACUGUGUGAUUUGUGAGCUGCAUUUCCAUGCACACGAAAUAAAAAGAAGUACAUCGUCAUAUGAUCCUAAGACUGGAAGAUUAAUUACACGCCUCUUGAUCGUCCACGUUUAAGGAAAGGUGCAAUACCAGCACUAUUGCCAGAAUGUCCUGAUUAUUUAUCUACACCACAAGAAGGAAAAUAUCAUUCUUUUCGUUGAAGGAAAUUCUCCCGCAGUGGAAAACACGUGUGUUGGAGCUGCACAGAAAUGAUUGUAAUGUGCAAGAAAUUAAAUCUUUAAACAUCCUUGUUGAUGUUAAAUCGAGGGAGGAGUUUGGACAGUGGUUGGCACAGUUUGAAAACAUAACAAAAACAACUUAUACAAUAAGGUGCACUGAACCUGCAUCAGGAAAGUAUGUUGUUUGCAAACAAAGGCUGGUCUGUCACCACAAUACUCGCAGUAUAAAAGUUCAUGGUUCAGUGCAAAGGGCAACAAAAAACACUAACUGUCCAUCAAAAAUGACAGUGACAAUUCAUGCCGUGCAUGAUAGAUACAGAGGUAAGUCUGUAGAGAAAGCAAUGCUCUACAAGGAAAUGCCGUGUGAGGUUAACUUGGUGUUGGGUCAUAACCGCAGUGUUGACAGUGCUGCUGCUUUAAGAUUUAGACAACCAUCAAGUGAUGUCAAAGAAAAAUUAAUAUCCCUGUUUGAAAGAGGUCAUUCACCAGCCACUGCUCUUGAGUCAAUAAAGGUUGAAAUUCAGCUGAAUUGUUCAGAUUACCCUUUAGUCCUUGCAGACAGAAGCAGGUGUCCUGAUUACAACUUUUGCCACUAUUUGUUCAACAAAGUUUUUAAGAAAAAGUAUGGGCCAACAUACUUGAACAAAGAUGGAAAGCAGCUGUUACAACAGAGGUUAGAGGAAUACAACAGCGAAGUUGGAGCUGUGUGUGCCAAGAUGAUUCAGUAAGAUGAUGAUUAUAUAGUAUGGUAAGAGUAUAUUUACAAAUUUGUAGUCUGAUGAAAACUUUAUGCAUAUACAUUUAGCUACUAUUAAUAUUUGUAUAAUUGUUUUUCAGCAUUUGCUCACCACUGAUGCAAAAAGUCCAUACUCGUGUAAAAGCUGCUUCCAAACUUGUAUUUAUGGAUUCCACUGGUUCUCUGGAUCAUGACAGCAGCAGAGUGUUCGUUUUACUUACUCACAGUGAGUGUGGAGGUUUACCACUGGGAGUUCUGAUUAUGUCUUCAGAAAGCUGCGGAGUUAUAGAAAUGGGACUAGAGUUGCUGAAAGAGAUAGUGGGGGAAAAUAUUUUGGGGGAAACAUCAAUGGCCCAAGUGUGUUUCUGACUGACGGCAGCCAGUCAGAACAAAAUGCAAUUAGAAGAUGCUUCCCAAACACAAAAGCUUUGUUGUGUAUAUUCCAUUUCCUGCAGGCAGUGUGGCGCUGGCUUCUCAAAGCAAAAAAUGCUAUACCACAGCAAAAAUAGUGCGAGUUCUUCCAGAAUUUCAAAAAAAUAAUGUUUGCGCAAACAAAAAAUGAAGCAGUGGUAAACUAUAAUGUAACAAGAGCGAACAUCGGUGAAAAUAAUCAAAAUUUAUUGAAAUACUUGGAAGGGUAUUGGGAUAGGAGAGGACUGUGGACCCUUUCACAUCAGCGAGGUAUGCUUAUAGAAGGGCACAACACAAAUAAUAUAACUGAGGCCUUCACGAGAAUUUUAAAGGACAGGAUUUUUGAGAGGGUGCGUGCCUUCAAUGUGGUUCAGAUGGUGGACUUUUUUCUCACAAAGGUGAAUUUGUAUUUUCAGAGGAGACUUCUUGAUGCUGCUAAUGGAGCAAGUCCUAAGUCUUUCUGUAGGCCUACAAAGGCUCCUUCACAGGAGAUUCUAGCAAAAAUCAGACAAGUCAAUGAGGAUGUUCUGCUCAUUCCCAGUGAAGAAAGGGAGAAUCAUUAUUACAUUGUUAAUAUGGCUGUUCUUGUUUGCACUUGUUGCCAAGGCAAUACAGGGAAGAUCUGCAAACAUAUAGACUGGGGAACUACAGGGAGGUGACGGAUAGUGACAGUGUACGUAGACUGUAUUAUUUUAUUGCUACAGAUGAGGAGCCUCCUGAAGGGUGGCUAGAGCCUCUGUAUUGCUCUCAGAAUGCAGGGGCUUCAAGUUCUUCGGAACGUUUGGAGCAAACGGACACAGGUUUGCUCUGUGAAAGCCAAGAAGAGAUGCCAGAGACACUUCACAUGGAGACAGUUCCAGACAAUACAAAUAAUGAUUUAAUCGACGAGAUAAAAGCUCGUCUCAUAGAUUUUUCAAAUACAUCCCCUGAGGAAAUGAGGAAAGGCCUUGAAGUCAUGUGCGAAAAAUUGAGAAAGCUUGCAUCUUAUUUGGCAAAUUUUGGUGAAGGAAAAUCUAGAAAAAAUCGCGGUAACUAUAUUCCCGUUCAGUCUACUGCAAUAAGCAGAAGAAAAAACAAGUUGGCAGGUCGCAGAUGUCAUCCGGGGGGAAGACAAAGACCACACUCUAAGCAAAGCGAGGAAUUUGUAAAGACAGUAGAAAUUUCUGAAAUGGCUACCUUUCCACCACCAGCUACGCAGUCAUCCCAGUCAGCUUCAGACUUUUGAAGGUGCGCGACUGUUUACUGCAGCAUAGUGUGUAGGAUUUUCUUAAUCUGAGAUCCAACGUAAUGGAACUAUUAAGGGAAUGAUUCUAGUAAGUUUUUUCUUAAAGCUCAGGCCUAGCCUGACUGCUGAAAUAUAUUAAGUUUUUUUGUUGUAGCUAGGGUCUGACCCGAUUAUUCCCAGUGGGGUCAGGGAUUUUCUCUGCCUCGUGAUGACUGGGUGUUGUGUGAUGUCCUUAGGUUAGUUGGGUUUAAGUAGUUCUGAGUUCUAGGGGACUGAUGACCAUAGAUGUUAAGUCCCGUAGUGCUCAGAGCCAUUUUCUAACCCGAUUAUUGAAAUAAGUUUUUUCUUGAAGCUCAGACCAAACUUACUAUUGAAAUAUAGAAGUUCUUCUUUAAAUUGGGAUAUCCCAACAAUGUGGAUACUUAUUGUGUAUGUUGCACAAGUUUCAGGGAAAUGUGAAUUAUCUUUUUUUAAAAUGUAAACUACAUUUUAUAUUCUGCAUAUGACUCUUUUUUAUUUACAUCUGUUCCUUCAGGUUACAUGUAGCUUAUUUAAUUUGUCAUAUUAUGUCUGCUUUCUGAAGUAGUUCUGUCAGCUGAUAAUGAAAAAUGUUUCCUGCAUUUUAAUAUAUAUUGGCAAUAAU